rnacentral:rRNA from 1 species
UACAGAGGGUGCGAGCGUUGUCCGGAAUCACUGGGCGUAAAGGGCGCGUAGGUGGCGGCCCAAGUCCGUGGUGAAAGCUCGCCGCUUAACGGCGAGUCGGCCACGGAGACUGGGUGGCUCGAGCACUGUAGGGGCAGAUGGAAUUCCGGGUGGAGCGGUGAAAUGCGUAGAGAUCCGGAGGAACACCGACGGCGUAGGCAGCGCCCUGGACGACACCUGACGCUGAGGCACGAAAGCUGGGGGAGCGAACAGG